CCUAUGGAUGAGGCUCUGGGGCCUGAACCCCAUGCUUCCUGUCUGGAUAAGACCUUUAACUCAAAUUCUUAAGGAAGCAUCUUUGAAGAGGCUCUAAAUGUCUGGUUUGGGGACCUACCUUUGGCUACUUGGGGCUCCUACACACACUCUCUCUGCCUUUUCCUAAGAUCCCUGUCUGCUACAUAUUUACUUGAAGGAGACAUUCAAAUAAGACAGUACAUCAAAAGACAGUAUAUUCAUUCAUAUAUGUGUUUGACUGGGUCACUUUGCUGUAGAGCAGAAAUUGAUAGAACACUAUAAAUCAACUAUACUUUAAUAACAAAAUUUAAAAAGACAAAUACCAUAUGACAUCAUUUAUAUACAUGGAAUCUUAAAUAUGCUACAAAUAAAACUCUCUACAAAAACAGAAACAGACUCACAGACAUGGAAAACAGACUUGUGGUAGUGGGGGGGGUGGGAUGGAUGGAGAGUUUGGGAUUAGUAGAUGCAAACUAUUGCAUUUAGAAUGGAUAAGCAAAGAGGUCCUGCUGUACAGCACAGAGAACUAUAUCCAAUCACUUGUGAGAGAACAUGAUAGAAGAUAGAGAAAAAGAAUGGGCAUAUAUGUAUGACUGGGUAACUUUCUGUAGAGCAGAAAUUGACAGAACAUUGUAAAUCAACAAUACUUUAAUAAAAAAAUACUUUGAUUUACAGUACAUUGUAAAUCAACUAUACUCUUUAAAAAGACAGUGUAUUCAUUCAGUAUAUUCAGAGUCUUCGUUUUUACUGGCUUUAGGUGCCCAGAGAUGAGAACCCAUAGCAGGAUUUAGAAUUGUUUAGUAUCUCCUUAAAGAGAUGAUGUUUGGGCUGUACUUAAAGGAAGGGUACACCUGGGGGGUGGUCAACUCACACAUGCAGCCCUAGAUGACAUGAAUGGGAUUCAGCGCAGACAUGGCAGAGAAAAGCAUGGUGUUUUGUGAAGAGUGGAUACAGCAGUAGACAGAUGCUCUUAAAUUGCAGCGAUGGCCCUAGUUCUUUGCCGACCCUGUACUCGCUCUCUUUGCAUGCAGCUCUGCAGUACUGUCUCACUCUGAACUAGCCUGCACAUGCUCAUGUGUGAUGACAAGAGGUACAAAAGAGCAAAGUCCAGAAUGCAAGGCCCUUUCAAAGUACUACUGUGUCAAGUCUGCUAACCACUUACUGACCAAAGAAAGUCAUGUGGUUGAGUUCUCUCUCAAAAGGCCAGGUGGAGAAGUGGCAUGACUACAGCAGGCUCUAAGAGCCAACAGACUAGUAUGCCAUGUCCCAGAGAAGCAGGAGAUGGAAGCUAGGGUACCCUGUGGCCCACCAACUCCUGUCUUCCCACCCAGUCAACUUCUACCACAUCUGCACGAUAGAAACUAAGAAAAGGGCACAGUCAGCGUCCCUGUUCUCUCUCACUCAUUGGAACCUGCAUAAGCCACUGCAUCUUACUUGCUUUCCUCCAUUUUUCCUCCAUAGCAAGCGGUGAAGAUACAAAUCCUUGCUCUACACACUCUUCAUGUUUUCUUUGCUUUGUUUUGUUUAAGAAGAGCUUACUGAACACAGGACACUCAAAUUGGCUCCUCCUGGCCUACCAAUAAAUUCUACUCCUUAGCUAGACAUUCAAUGGUCCCCUAUGAUCUGAAGACUUUCUAAUUCCUAAUCUAUUGAUAUUCUGCAUUGUAUUGGGGCUAUAUUUGCAGGAAUCUUAUCUUGACUAUUCAACUGUGAGCUUCUUUAGCACAGAGAUUGGGAGUUAUCAGGCAUUUAUCAAAGAGCCUG
rnacentral:lncRNA from 1 species